UACAGAGGGUGCAAGCGUUAAUCGGAAUUACUGGGCGUAAAGCGUGCGUAGACGGUUACGUAAGUCAGAUGUGAAAGCCCCGGGCUCAACCUGGGAAUUGCAUUUGAGACUGCGUAGCUAGGGUGCGGAAGAGGGAAGCGGAAUUUCCGGUGUAGCGGUGAAAUGCGUAGAUAUCGGAAGGAACACCAGUGGCGAAAGCGGCUUCCUGGUCCAGCACCGACGUUCAGGCACAAAAGCGUGGGGAGCAAACAGG
rnacentral:rRNA from 1 species